rnacentral:rRNA from 1 species
AAAUUUGGAUUAAUACCUUAUAACAAUAUUCAUUCGCAUGUUUGAAUAUUUAAAGCUUUUGCGGAAAAAGAUGGGCAUGCGUGACAUUAGUUUGUUGGUGAGGUAACGGCUCACCAAGACUACGAUGUCUAGGGGUUCUGAGAGGAUGAUCCCCCACACUGGUACUGAGACACGGACCAGACUCCUACGGGAGGCAGCAGUGAGGAAUAUUGGUCAAUGGACGAAAGUCUGAACCAGCCAUGCCGCGUGAAGGAUGACGGCCCUACGGGUUGUAAACUUCUUUUGUAUAGGAAGAAACCCCCCUACGUGUAUGG